rnacentral:lncRNA from 1 species
GUGUGGGUCUGCUGUAAUUUUGUACUUUUGGGGUCCUGUAAGCCUCUUGUAUUUGAUUUUCAACUCCAUUCUUUAGGUUUGAAAAAUUUUCUGCUAUAACAUCAUUGAAAGAUUUUGGAUUCCUUUGGUUUGUAUCUCUGCUCCUUUAUCUAUUCUGAUAACUCUUAAAUUUGGCCUUUUCAUGUUAUACCAUAAUUCUUGGAUGUUAUGUUCAUGGUUUCUUACCAUCUUCUCCACAUGUUUAACUCUACUUUCAAGGUUAUAUAUUUUGUCUUCAUUGUCUGUGGUUCUGUCUUCCAAGUGAUCUAAUCUGUUGGUGAUACUUUCAAUUGAAUUUAUAAUUUGGUUUACUGAUUUCUGCAUUUUGAGGAUUUUUAUUUUUUUAACUCUUUAUUGAAGUGGUCUUUCACAUCCAGUAUUUUUCUUUGAUUUCUCUCCUUAUACUAUACUUCACAUAUCAGUUUAACCACAUAUGGUCUGAACUCCUUCUUAGACAUUUCUUCUACUGUGUUAUCAGUGACUUCUGUUGUUGAAGCAUCUUGGUUUGUUUGGUGUGCUUUAUUCCCUUGUUUUUUUCAUGCUGUUAGUGUUCUUUCCUACCUAAAAGUAUGGAUCUAAGUCAAGAUAAAUUCUACCCUGUAGACCUAUAGUGUCCCUGAAGGUUUCCAGUGCUUUGCCUUUACUGGUAAGACCAAUAUCAACAGGACCCAAUGAACACAAUAACUUAACCUUAUAACCUAAUAACUCCCUUAAACCUAAUAACUCCCACUAAGGCAUCUACUGCUUUCUCACACAGAACCAAAAAUAAUUAUUUCAAUAACUAUCUGUAGUAUAAACAAAAUAUUUGCUAAAACAAUUUAUGAUUUAAAAUGGUGAAUGAGAGAACAGAGGUAGUGUAGUAUGCAAUAUUCAUGAGGGAGGAAGAUAGAAGCUAGAAGUAAAAAUUCACAGGAAGUGUGGAAUAAUAACCAACAGAGAUUGACUGUUGGUUGGAGAAAGAAAGUCCAAGAAAAUAGAAAAGAUAAAGGAAGAAUACAAACAAAGAGGAAAAAAAUAAAGACAUAAGAGUACAACAAAAAUGCAAAACACCAUUCAUAUAUCAUUGUCCUCCACACACUGAUGCAUAAAAAACAACCUGUUCCAGAUAUGGUAGAGAGAUUCGUGAAUUAAAAAAUAAAAUAAAAUAAAUCAUGCUGUAAAGUCGAACUGUCAGUGUUCAUCAGUUUCUCAUCCCUAUCUCUGACAUCUCUUGGGAUCACCAAACCCAGAUUAGCCCUUGCAAACCCAGCCUCUAUCCCACCAAUCUGAACUUCAGAUACCUCAGGAUUGGCCACACUGCAGUCCCAAGAUCUCAAAUGCUGCUCAUACUUGCUGAGAGACCACCAGGGAUACACUCAUGCAAAGGAGCAACUCUGAGAUGCAGCAGCAGCAAGACAAUGGCCACCAGCACUCUCACCAGGAAGACCCCAGGCUCCUCCAAACCUUCUGGCACCCCCUCACUGGACCUGCAUGUCCCAACGGGAGUCCCCAGAGAGGCUCCUGUGGUGGUAAACCUGCUGGCACCCAGGCCCCCACACUGGCUAGUGUCCCCAAAUGGGUGCAGCCACAUGCAACCAAACCUUAAGUCUCCCUCGAAGUAGUCCUCUAGGCUAUGGUAGCAGCGGUAGUGGUGGUGGUUGCUGGCAGCGAGUCAGCAGUAGUGGUGGUUGCAGCGGUAGCUACAAUAGCAACUGAGGGGGCAUUGUAUCUAGGUGAUCUCCAGGGUCAGCAGCAGUGUAGGCUUCAGUUGCAUCCAAGGCAGUGGUUUCCUUCUGUGGCAGUAGCAUCCAGAAAGAAGACCUCCAUAGGAUCUCAGGCUGGUGGCAGCGGAAUCAGAGGCAGCAAUGGAGUUAGCAGUGCAAGUGGCGGUUGACUGACAGGAGACUUCCGGUUCAGCAGCAGCUACCUCCGAGGUAGCAAAGGAAUUCACCUCAGAGGUACCUGAGGCCUUGCCCAGAGAGGAGACCUCCAGCAUGGCAGUGACUUCUGCGGCAGCCCAGAAAGAAGACCUCUAGGUGAGUUUAGGCUGGCGGCAGCAGAAUCAGAGACAGCAAUGGCGGUUGCGUUGCCGGAGGCGGUUGAUUGACAGGAGACUUCCGGUUCAGCAGCAGUUACUUCUGAGAUAGCAAAGGAAUUCACCUCAGAGGUACCUGAGGCCUUGCCCAGAGAGGAGACCUCCGGAACGUCAGUGACUUCUGCGGUAGCCCAGAAAAAAAAGACGUCCAGGUGAUCUCAGGCUGGCAGCUGCAGAAUCAGAGGCAACAAUGGUGAGGGCCGCGAUUGAUAGACAGGAGACUUCCGGUUCAACGGCUUAUUUUUAAUUUUUCUUAAUUAAUUACAUUUUCUAUACUUUGUGUAGUUUGUUUUUUAUUUAAAUAUGUCUUAAAUAAUUUAUUUAUAUAAUUUAUUGUAGAUAGAAUACAUAUUUGACAGAUUUGACGUUCUUAUAAUAAAUUUAGAUUUUUUUUUGUUAAAUAUACUACUAUUUAAUUUCAAUGAUUUUUAAAAAAAGUAUGACAAAUUCUGAACCUGUUUUUGCUUUUUAGUGCAUUCUAGUUAUAAAUAAUGGUGGGGUCAUGGUUAACAUUUUCAUAAAUACACGUAGUUUUCUUCAUUUCAAUACUCAUUACUCCCUCUUUUCAUGCUUUCUUCUGUCCCCUUAGUCCCUUUGUCCAGCACUACUGUUCUUCCAUUUAUUUAUUUUCAUUUAAAAAAAUUGUUCCUUUUAGAUAUACAUGACAGUAGAUUGUAUUUUGGAAUAGAAGGUACAAAUGAAGAAAUAUUUCCACCCCUUGCCCUAGACAUAGGUCUGACCUGCUGAGAAGUCCUGUGGUAAAGCAACUUGCCAGAGAGGCACAGCCUAGGGGAAGUCAGGAAGUCCUAAACACCUCACAGUUUUUACAGGUCACAGGGCAUUGCAUGCAUGCCGGAGCCUGGCUGGCUGCAGCAAAAUAACCCGGGGGGUGACGAAUAACUUGUGUACGUUGAUACAGCAGGAGUAGGAGCCAUUUAUUGCAGGACAGGAGCAGUAUUUAUAUAUUCCACACAGCUUAUCUAAUUAGCAUAAACUAGAUACAUCAGUCAACCAAUAAGGAAUCUCCACACUUAAUGGUUCGCUUUUGUUACUUCUCAAACCACUCCCUCUGGCAUUUUGCCAGGCACCAUCCAGACUUGUUUACGAACACUAACAUUCCCCUGGCAAAAUGCCAGGUGUUAUUUUGACUUGUUUACAGACUCUAACACAUGCACACACAUGCCACAUGGCUCAGAGGAAAUUUCCUUGGCAGAUCUGAGGAGACAAUUUCCAGUCAAUGUGGGAGAACUAGGGUCUUGUCAGAAACCUAGGAAUCCAACCCUCCUUUUAAGCACAGGUGUGAAGGGAAGGGAAGGUAUAACAGUGGGAACUUUCAGGCCCCCCUAAUCCCAGGUGGGUGUGGUGCCUAUGAUGUUGUUGUUGCAUGGUCUUACCUGGGAGGUGGAGCUCCCACAGGUCAGGGUCUGCAGGAAAGCUGCAACAAUUCACUAAAGCUACCUUGCAUUCAAGUGCAUCUAUAGACACUUUUCUGCUCCUUGUAGUGGCCUUGGCUAAGGCAGAGACCAGCAAAGGUAUUGCAGGUGUUAGGUGAUGCCACACUUUGUCAUAAGCAUCAGUCCUGAUCUUCUGCCAAUGAUAGAACCAAGCCUGGCUCACUGUUACCCUGGAUACUAUGCCUCCAGAACUUAGUGUGCAGUCUAGGCUUUAUUCUUUUUGUUGUGCUGUGUCUUGGAACUAGCAGUUCAAGAGGCACCAGUCUCUUCGUACUUCCCUAGAUGGGCUAGGUAAUUUAAUGCCCCAAGUUAGGGCCCAAAGGACCUUAAUAAAUGUGAUUCUGGGACAGCAGUAUGGAUGCAAGUUUCCACACAAGGACACAUCACUGCCGGCCAAUAGCCUGCAGCCAAGCCAAGUUCACAACUUCAGAGAAACUCUUCUGCUACUCCCAAGAAUUCAUUCCUCUUUAUUCUGACAGCAAUUGUCUAAUAUGUCCCGACACUGGUGCUGUUACAUCCUGGUCAUCACUAAUUCCUAUGGAAAAAAGUGUACUUCAGCUUAACCUGAUUUUCUCAGGAACUUGCUCAAGACAGCAUCUCUUCAUCUAGCAUAUGGUUCCCAAACUGUGCCUAAUCAAAUUCCUUUUAAGUUUGUCCAGAGUAGCAUUAUUAAUCCAAUGUGCCAAUAUUGGGCCAAGAGAACACUCAGGAAUGUGACUUUCUGGGGCCCCAGACUGGGUGCUGGUUUGCACUCUUACACGGUUCCCAGUCCAACCUGGGCCAAGUCAAGGACACUUCCUCAGAGAAACAAUUCUCUCUCCCACCCCGAAUUUCCUGCUCCCUAUUCUGCCACAAAUGGUUUCAGAAUGCCUGAAACCAGAAACCUUAAAUCCCAGCUGUCCUCAAUUUCUGUGGGAAACAUUCUAUUUAGCUUGCCAUCCUUCUAAUAGUACUUAAGGCAGAGCAAAAUUCUCAGUCCAUCCCCUGGCUCCCAUCUGUGACCAAUACAGCUCUGAAGUCCUGACAGGGGUGGGGGGGAUUAUUCCAGUAAGCCAAUCAUAGGCCAGAACAACCCUGAGUGAUGAGAAUUUCCAAGUCCUCAUCCUGGGUGCACUUAUCCAUCCAUAUGAACUUCACAUCCAGACCCAAACUUGGGACCAAUGACAUCCGAUGACCAGGAGAACCUACGCUUCUUUUAGGACAUUCUUCCUCUGUUUUUUCUAACAAGAAUAUCCUCAGGUUGUGUGUAAAAGGCAAGUUUUUAUCCUGAUUCACCUACUUUAAAAGAAAAUUUAUCUCAACUUUAGAAAACUGAUCCUAGAGUUAUCACAGGUAAAGUACUUUUAGGGGGUCCUGAUACCCACAUGUGACCAAUCUAAGUCUUGUCAGGGGAAGCGUAGCUCUAAUGUUCAUGUUUGGGCCAUAAGAACCUACAGGAAUGUGCCUUUGUAAUUUGGUCCUAGUAGGAACAGAUCUCCCUGCAUGCAACUUUUACAUGUUACCACAAAUAUUUGGCCUAUCCAAGCACCCUCACUAAUAUAAAUAUUUCUUAUCUUUCCAGGAAUUUCUUUAUCCCUCUUCAUCCCAUAAAUGGCCUCAGGUUGCCUGCAGCUGGCUCAGUUGGAGACUGUGUAUCACCUGCUUCUGUGGCAAAAAUUUUACUUCCACUCUUUCUGCUUCUCCUAGUAGUUGGGAUGCAGUAAGUUUCUUCAUCCAGUCCUUGGAUGUUCAGCUAUGAAUACUAGAUCUCCUUAUAAAACUGUCUAGGAGAAGAGAAGGUAAUUCACAAGUCCAAAAGAUGUUCCAGAAGAAUCCAUAGAACUCUUCAUAAACAUGGCUUUAUAAGACAUCAGACUUGUUGCAGGUUUUCAUACAUGAGCACAUCACAGCCCAUUCAUAAUCUGUGGUCAAGCUAAGACUUUCCCCUGAGAGAAAGUGUUGUUCUCUGCCUAGGAA